rnacentral:rRNA from 1 species
AUGGGCGCAGCCUGAUGCAGCGACGCCGCGUGCGGGAUGACGGCCUUCGGGUUGUAAACCGCUUUUGAUCGGGAGCAAGCCUUCGGGUGAGUGUACCUUUCGAAUAAGCACCGGCUAACUACGUGCCAGCAGCCGCGGUAAUACGUAGGGUGCAAGCGUUAUCCGGAAUUAUUGGGCGUAAAGGGCUCGUAGGCGGUUCGUCNCGUCCGGUGUGAAAGUCCAUCGCUUAACGGUGGAUCCGCGCCGGGUACGGGCGGGCUUGAGUGCGGUAGGGGAGACUGGAAUUCCCGGUGUAACGGUGGAAUGUGUAGAUAUCGGGAAGAACACCAAUGGCGAAGGCAGGUCUCUGGGCCGUUACUGACGCUGAGGAGCGAAAGCGUGGGGAGCGAACAGGAUUAGAUACCCUGGUAGUCCAAGGGCGAAUUC